CUGGGCAUCGUCCUGGCCGCCGUCGUCAUCAUCACCGGCUGCUUCUCCUACUACCAGGAGGCCAAGAGCUCCAAGAUCAUGGAGUCCUUCAAGAACAUGGUGCCGCAGCAAGCGCUGGUGAUCCGCGAGGGCGAGAAGAUCCAGAUCAACGCGGAGAACGUGGUGGUGGGCGACCUGGUG